rnacentral:lncRNA from 1 species
UUUGUUUGUUUAUUUUGACUCAUGUAUAUGUACAUAUUUGUGGCUUAUCGAAAAUAUUAAUAAAUAAGCCUUUGCUUCAUUUCAACAUAUUGUGUUAAAUACACCAAAGCCUUCUUCAUAAAGUUCUUUGAAUUUUUGCUUUUGUUGAAACCUGUAUUGUUGAAGCUUUGUGAGUGAAGCAUGUAGUCUGAGGUAGUGUUCCCUUAAUUUCCCGAGUGAGGAAAACUUCUCGGUUGGAGACUUGAAAAAUCCAAGUCACUGAG